rnacentral:rRNA from 1 species
AACGAACGCUGGCGGCAUGCCUAACACAUGCAAGUCGAACGAGACCUUCGGGUCUAGUGGCGCACGGGUGCGUAACGCGUGGGAACCUUCCCUUAGGUUCGGAAUAACUCCCCGAAAGGGGUGCUAAUACCGGAUAAUGUCUUCGGACCAAAGAUUUAUCGCCUUUGGAUGGGCCCGCGUUGGAUUAGCUAGUUGGUAGGGUAAAAGCCUACCAAGGCGACGAUCCAUAGCUGGUCUGAGAGGAUGAUCAGCCACACUGGGACUGAGACACGGCCCAGAAUCCUACGGGAGGCAGCAGUGGGGAAUAUUGGACAAUGGGCGAAAGCAUGAUCCAGCAAUGCCGCGUGAGUGAUGAAGGCCUUAGGGUUGUAAAGCUCUUUUAACCGGGAUGAUAAUGACAGUACCGGGAGAAUAAGCUCCGGCUAACUCCGUG